rnacentral:tRNA from 1 species
AAAGCGUUAGUUCAGCCGGAAGAAUGCCGCCCUGUUACGGCGAAAGUCGAAGGUUCGGUCCUACACGCUUUC